rnacentral:lncRNA from 10 species
AGGUAGAGAGGAUUGAAUAUAGGAGUAUGCUCCUGUAGCAAUCACUGAGUCUUGGUCAAUCCCAACAGCCAUCCUUCAACCCGUCAUACACUUAUGAUGUCAGAAGUGGGGUGCAAAGUAGAGCUUCUGACAACCCCCGGGAGUACUGAGUGAACAAGCAAGGUAUCUGCAGAACCCACUUGUGUCCACCGAUCUCUCAGAGUGCCUGGAGAUCAUGGACAACAGAAUGCAGUGUGAGGGAUGUCAAGUCAUCUGGGAACAACACUUUCUUAAGAAUUCAUCUCAAUUUCUGCGUUUUUUGGAAAGGUCCUUAAUUGUUUGCUGCCUCUGCAAGCUAGACAUCUCUUUCAGCAAAUGGAGACCCAGAUGCUAUGAAACUCCAAAUGGUGCUGUAAACUGAAACACACAUGGCCACACCAUUCUUCCGAGGACCCUUAGAACCACUCCAGAAGGAGCCUUAGCUGCUGUACCCCAUUCGACACCCCUUUUCAGCAGGAAGUAGCCAGAAGGAGUCAUCGCCUAAAACCCCCUAACAGCAGUUAGUGUGGCAUCUCCACAGGGGGACUGUUGUAGGAGUUAUUAAGAAAUUAUUUUAGACAGUUAGAGAGGAAAAGGGGUCCCUGGGAAAUUUUCAAUUUUUAAAGCAUCUCCGGAAAAUUUCUUGUAAAGCCCUGGCUCUUAGAGCCAGGCUUGCAACUUUUGAUAUGCAAGUGCAAGUCAUUAGAAACUGGAUCCACUCAGGUAGCAUGAUGCAUCACGCUACCUGACUUCAAACUAUACUACAAGGCUCCAGUAACCAAAACAGCAUGGUACUGGUACCAAAACAGAGAGAUAGACCAAUGGAACAGAACAGAGGCCUCAGAAAUAACACCACGCAUCUACAACCAUCUGAUCUUUGACAAACGUGACAAUAACAAGAAAUGGGGAAAGGAUUCCCUAUUUAAUAAAUAGUGCUGGG